GAAAUGCGAUAAGUAAUGUGAAUUGCAGAAUUCAGUGAAUAAUCGAAUCUUUGAACGCACAUUGCGCCCGCCAGUAUUCUGGCGGGCAUGCCUGUCCGAGCGUCAUUUCAACCAUCAAGCCCCCGGGCUUGUGUUGGGGACCUGCGGCUGCCCGCAGGCCCUGAAAACCAGUGGCGGGCUCGCUGUCACACCGAGCGUAGUAGCAAUCACCUCGCUCAGGGCGUGCUGCGGGUUCCGGCCGUUAAACAGCCUUACAAAACCCAAGGUUGACCUCGGAUCAGGUAGGAAGACCCGCUGAACUUAAGC
rnacentral:misc_RNA from 1 species